AGGUAAUGCAAGACAGCCUCAGGUAGUACCCAAAUGAUGAGAAAAGUAAGAAGAUACAUAGGAAUAUGUGGACCCGGGAUCAAAUAAAAUUGAGGCAUCCAGACUGAAAUAAUACCUGUAAUAAUAACAUCCGAAGCAAUAACAUCUGACCUGCCCUGAAGAGUGUAGCAACGGGCCUGACCACCACCGGAUCGGCCUCCCCCUCUAGGGUGACCCCUAACAGCCUGACUAUCACCCCUAGCUGACCGGGCGGGUGCUAAAGGCACUGGUCCAGAAGAUAAAGGCUGGCCCCUCUGCUGAGAUAAACUGGAUGAACGGCGGGGACACUCCCUCCGCAUAAAUGCC
rnacentral:lncRNA from 1 species